rnacentral:lncRNA from 1 species
AGGCGUUCGUAUAAUUUAUAGUACUUUUCAUAAGCCGGAAUGAUAAUCGUAUACCACUUGAGGUAAAUCUAUACGACAUGAGUUGUAUAUGAUUCUUAUCAUGGCGUGAACGCGUAUAAGUUGUCACAUUUCAAAUUGUCCGCGAUUUCUAGCGAUCAUACUUGAUCUAAAGCGCAUUUGAUCAUCAUAUCCUCAUGAAUCAUAUACGACUGGUCGUAUCGUGCAAAUGAUAUAGACACCAAACAUUUCGUACUAAUAACUCAACUUGCAUGUGGACUUGAGACUGAGUCUGUUAAUUUCCAUGUAGUAGUAAAGAGGGGCCCUCUUGUUAAAAUCCCAUGACAUGUCAUUUGAUGAUUUGGGCUGUAUUGUACGUUGAAAAAUGCACAAUUUUAACAUUUUAUAUCCUCAUACAGUGUACAUGUAUAUGCAACAUUUUCUUCCUACAUUGACGUCGGUGUCAUCAUUUUAGCUACUAUACUUCAAUUUCUAUUGACCAUUCUCAUUCUUUGUGCGUUUGAACUAAGUUUGUUCUAAAAUUGUAGCCUAUAUGUUAUUACCAAAUAUAUCGAAAUAACUAACAGUCGAAAUUUAAUACAAAUAAUUGAAAACCUUAUCUAUAUGACGCUGAUGACGGAAAAGAUGACUUGCCUAUCUAUGUACCUUAAUUGUUUUCCAUUUCAUUAGAGUUGUUGUUGGGUUGUCGUGAACAUACAUGUUCAUUGUUCCUGUACUUUCUGAUCCAAGUUUGAAAGGAUUUUACAAACCCUACCAUUUGAUUUUCCAUUCCAAAGAAAUACAGGAACGGAUUGCAGCAUGAGUUUAUAAAAGUGAAAGCGUUCAACCAACUCCAUACAACAAAUUCUUCGUUAUCAGUUAAACUUUUGUUCACUGCUGAAUACACUCUGAGGAUGCAAGAGGGGAGGUAAGUUGCAUAGAACAAGCACAUAAUGGCAAAAGUUGUAAGUGCACUUUUCCUUAGAAAGAAAAAUCUCAUUUGAGAUCUUCCUGAAAGUUUGGAAAUAUUUCUCGCUUGCUUUCUUGCUGUUUGCAGUAAAAUACCAUAUAUUACAGAGAGUACGACAAGCUGAGCGAAUGAUAUUGCAGACAAAAACAAUUCGUAGGCAUCAUUUUUGUCGAGGGUAAAGCUGAUACCAUGUAUGAUUCCAAGAACAAUGGCCGCUAUCCAUGAUAUCGCAAUCAAUGUCCAAGACACAUUUGAUGUUAUGAGAAUAUUAUUCCUCAAAGGCCAAAUGACAGCUAUGAAUCGGUCGAUUGCGAUACAUGUAAUGGCAUUGCCUGUUGAAAAAAUACACACGACAAACAAGGACGCGUGUAUAUACAUAUAUUCAGUCGCCUUUCGUAAUGUGAGCAAUUGUGUACGCCAAGGAAGAUACGUUGUUAAAGCGAUGAAGUCGGAUAUGGCUAAAUUUAUAAUCAUUUUAUCCGAAGCAGUGCGUCGUUUGUGGUGACGAGAAACAAUCAAAUAAAUGAUUACACAUAAAUUUGCUGUAGUUCGAACCAAUAUUUGUGAAGAAAUGAAAACUACCAACCAUGUUGAAUGUUGUGAAUUUAGAAGCUUCGUUUCUUCAGUCAUUUUUUAUUUUGGCAUUGACGACAAAUAAUGAUAAUUGAUCAUUUGAAAGUAUGAUGAUCAGUUACUUCCAAAAAGGUACAAAUUCCCCUGAAUUUCCGACAUCUGCAAUUUACAUCUGCGUCAUUUUGGCCGCUUUUCAACAAUCGCUCCAGGGGAAAAACGAGUCAAUUGGAACCAAUCGGUUCCUCUCGGCUGGAGGG